rnacentral:misc_RNA from 1 species
AAAAAAAAAAAAAAAAAAUUGGGUUGUGAAAAAAAAAACGCUAUAUUUGAACAUCAAGAUUUUUUUUAUUAGCGUGUUCUUCGUUUUCACAAAGGCCACUUUUGCAGGAUGGGAAUGGCAUCUAAAAGGAAAAAAAACAAUGAGUAGUGAAGGUCCAGUUAAGAUUGUAGGAAUUAACCAUGGAGUAUGUCUGCAUCAUUUCUUGUUGAUGGAUGGAUGGAAGGAAAAAAGAACAAUUCACUGAUGUUAACAUUUUUUUGCCAGUCUCCAGAUGACAAUAAUGAACAACACAGCUUACAAAACAAGCUCCGUGCUAACAGACGUGUUCUUGCUGCUGCCAGCCGGUUCUUUUCCAUCCUGUUACCUGAUUGUGAGUUAGACCUAGAUGUCUGCAUCUCAAUUGAUCUGAGCUUUGAAGAACUGUUUUGUGUUCUUGAGUACAUCUAUUCUGGGAAGCUGCUGUGUUCAGUCAAAAGCAAAGACAGAAUUUUAAGUAUUCUAAAAGAAUUUGAUAUUUUCGUGCCUGAUGAUCUACAGAAUUCAGUAGACUGUGGAAGAAAUGGAAGUAGUGAGGCAGAAGGGGAAAUAAUAUUUGAAGAAGCCAUUGCAAGUGAACCAAAAACUACUAAAGAUCCCACAAACAUUUCAGAGGAUAAAUCUCCCUUUGCAACUUCUGCCGAUGUUCGUGUAGUAAAUAGUGGAGAACUAAUUUUACGAGAACCCAAUAUUUCAAGCUCCAAUGAAGAUCCCUUCCAGUAUGAAGAAAAGCUUCCAGAAAAAUUCUCAAACAGUCAUAAGAUGUAUAGCAACAAAAGUAAAACUCAUUGUGGAUCAAAAAUGGCUAUUCUGAAUUCAAGCACCAAUGUUACUGAAACCAUUGUUGAACCGGAAAUCUCCAGACAUAAAGAUCCGGUCUUCACCGUAGUCACCAACCAACCCACUUCGCUGGAAGAAACGCUUGAAAGUAUCGUAUGGUCAGAGAUUGUAGCGGUUGAACCUCAAGAUAACCCAUCGCUAAGUAAUUGUGAUGUGCAUAGAAGUAGUGUAGAAGAUGAAUGGACUAUUCAGCAAAUACCGGAUAGGCAGACCGUUACGCUGCAGUUCCCUGCCCAGAUUCUUGGCAGUACGACUUUGAGCGCACUAAAAAAGGGAAAAAGAAGAAAAUUACAUUUGUUGAGGAAGAGACUGAAGACAGUGACCAAGAUCCCGAAGAUCAAGACCAAGAAGAUUCUCUUGGUUACGAAGAAAAUGAUGAAGUCAAAAGUAAAUCAGCAGUACAAACAUCUAACCAGUCUGACGAUCAAAGUAAUGGUUUUGAACCUCCGCUCAACUUUGAAGUAGCUGCAAAAAAGCUGGAUUCGUGUUUAGAUCAAAGUACAUCUACCCUAAGAUCGGAUGUGAAGCCUAGUUUGAAAGGAAUCGGAUGUUCUAGUUCACUUGAGGAUCUCACUCCAAACCUGGACGUGAGUGAUAGUGCUGAAGAAGAAGAAGAUAUUAUUCCUAAGUUGAAGUGCACACAAAACAAUGAAACCUCAAACGUCGAAGAACUAUUGGCCCUCUGCUCGGGAAAAUUCCCUGAUUCACUGACUUUCUGGAAGAGACACGCAAAUAAGUAGUUUGACUGAAAAUGCAGAUGACGAAUCUGAUGAAGAAGUUAAGCCGUUCGCAAGAAUAAUUCCAAUGGCUGAUGAGGAUGACGAGGAAGAUGGCUCCAGUAGUGCUCUCCCAAAAUUCGUUUCUGAAAAUGACGCUGAUGAACCUGGAACUGUGCCUUCUUUUUUAGAGGAUGGAGAAAAAUCACUGUCAAAGGUGAAAAAAAGGGCCCGUGUUUGUCUGUCAGAUGACGAAGAUGAAACUAUCGAUGAAAACCAUUCGUUUGUCGAAGAAGAGGGAAUGCAUGAAGAGGAACGAGAAUUUAGAGGUCUGACUGAGUUUUUUGAAGACGAGGCUGAACUGUCCGGUUCCGAAGUUGGCAGCGGUGACGAACGAGAAGACGAAAUGGAUGACUGGGAGGAGGAGGAAGGCGAUAAGGAGGAUAUUGAUGAAAACGAAGUUCGUGAGCAAGUUGGAAGAGCCCAUAUGAAGACAAUGCUUGAUCAAGACCAGCGUGAAGUUCGACUUUUUCAAGAGCUUUUUCUCGAAGAUGGAGAUUUGCAUUCUGAUGGCGGUGGAAGGCAAAGACAAUUUCGGUGGAAACAGGCUGAUGGUGAAAAUACUGAGGGAGACGGUGCCCGUCCAAAAAAUCAAGAAGAUGAAGAAGAUGAAGCUGCUGAAGAACAGGAUGAUCUCACAUGGAGAAAAAUUCACAGUGAUAGAGAAAAAUGGCUCCUGCAACAAAAGUCGCAACAGGAAACGAAUAAAGAAGUGCCAUUGGUUAUGAGCCGGCAAACUAAAAUGGUGAAAAUCAACACUGCUUCCAAAACCAUUAAUCAAAUUACAGAAGGCGAUUCCUCCGCUGCUACUGCCAACGCCAAGCAGUCAACGCAUUCUAAGGCGAACAUUGUGACCACUGUAGGUUACUUUUACAAAGUGCUUAACACAUUGUAGAGAUCAGCGCUUAUAUACUUUCCUACUUGGUGGAAAUGAUAUGAUCCUUCGAUAUGGUGAAGAUGAAGAAGGACGAGUUUUUUGUUAUGUUUUUGUAUUCUUGGAUCCAAAUGUACGGAUGGCUUUUCUUCUUCCCUGUC